GACGGACGCUGGCGGCGUGCUUAACACAUGCAAGUCGAACGGAAAGGCCCCAGCUUGCUGGGGUACUCGAGUGGCGAACGGGUGAGUAACACGUGGGUGAUCUGCCCUGCACUCUGGGAUAAGCCUGGGAAACUGGGUCUAAUACCGGAUAGGACCGUGCUUUAGUGUGUGCGGUGGAAAGUUUUUCGGUGCAGGAUGAGCCCGCGGCCUAUCAGCUUGUUGGUGGGGUAAUGGCCUACCAAGGCGGCGACGGGUAGCCGGCCUGAGAGGGUGUACGGCCACAUUGGGACUGAGACACGGCCCAGACUCCUACGGGAGGCAGCAGUGGGGAAUAUUGCACAAUGGGCGCAAGCCUGAUGCAGCGACGCCGCGUGGGGGAUGACGGCCUUUGGGUUGUAAACCCCUUUCGGCAGGGACGAAGCUUUUGUGACGGUACCUGCAUAAGAAGCACCGGCUAACUACGUG
rnacentral:rRNA from 1 species